rnacentral:rRNA from 1 species
CAUGUCCUUUUGAUUAUAAUUUAAGGUCUAAUCUGCCCACUGAUAUUUUAAAUGGCCGCAGUAAUUUGACUGUGCUAAGGUAGCAUAAUCAUUAGUUUUUUAAUUGAAAGCUGGUAUGAAUGAUUGGAUGAAAUAAAAACUGUCUCUGUUUUAUUAGUUUAGAAUUUUAUAUUUAAGUUAAAAAGCUUAAAUUUAAUUAAAAGACAAGAAGACCCUAUAGAGUUUUAUAUAAUAUAAUAAAUUAAAAUUAUUAUUUUAUAUAUUUUAUUUAUUUAUAAUUAUAUUUUAUUGGGGUGAUAGAAAAAUUUAAUAAACUUUUUUUUUAUUAAAACAUAAAUUUAUGAAAUAUUGAUCCAUUUUUUAUGAUUAAAAGUUUAAAUUACCUUAGGGAUAACAGCGUAAUUUUUUUUAAGAGUUCUAAUCGAAAAAAAAGAUUGCGACCUCGAUGUUGGAUUAAAGUUUAUUUUUGGUGUAGAAGCUAAUAAUUUAAGUCUGUUCGACUUUUAAAACUUUACAUGAUCUGAGU